ACUGAGAGGUGCUCUGAAAUGGGAGCCGAUUUCAUGGCUGACAAUGAAAAGCGGAGCAAGGGGCUUAUCUCUGAGAUAGAAGUGAGCAGAAGGAAAACUGCCACCAGCUACAGGAAAGAGCUGAUCCAACUCACUUGCCUGAUGCUGAAAACACUGCUCCCUCCAGCAGUGACAGCUAGCUGAUGCUCCCCAAGAAAAUGCAGCAUCAGAGGAAAGGAGGAAGGGACUGGAAGAGAUAAAGAAAGCAGAACCAGAGGAUGACAGCCGGGAAUCUUGUGUGCAGCAGCUCUGGCUACACCCUCCCCUCCUGCGUCCAUUACAGAUCCGAUAGAACUCCAAUCUGCUCAGGUCCAAGCAUGACAUCUGGUGUGAUGCAUGGGCAACCUGCGAUCUAUAGAUCUCAUCCAUCUUCAUAAGUGAAGGAUAUCCAUAUAUUUCAACAUUGCCUAGGAAAGACGUGCUGCAGGAGAACCCAGUAACCUGGCCAGGCAUUCUGCAUAUUUUAUAAAUGACAGCAUCUACACAAGCUCAGCCAGUGGUAAAAGAAAUGCUACUGAGGUGGUCUUGAGAGCCCUGAGAUGAGCAGCAAUGGUAAGCAUUUCUGUAAGAGGAAAUCAUCGCUGAGACAUUUCUUCUGCUUUCUGUCACACUUCCUGGCAUCUCCACAAUAGCAGUGAUUCCCAGCCCUGCCUUGUUUACGCAGCAUACAAAUGUUCAUACACCAGGCAAGGUGAGCCACCAGCUAGUGUGCCCCUCAUGCUGCCUUCUCACAGCUGUUCUGCACGUGCUGGAUUGCACAGGGCUCAGUGAAACAUGCCUUGGAGCCAUGCCCACUGCAGCUCUGUGGUCCAUCUCUGCCUUGUUCUCUAUUUCCCUCGUGAUGUGCGUUCUCCAUCCACCUGCAAUGCCAAAUCCCUGAUGUUCUGCCUCAUUCUGGACCUUAUUCCACUUGCUGCUGUGCCAAAGCCAUUUCUCCUUCUGUGUGUACAUACUGAAGCUUCUUUGAAACAUUUCAAAGUCUGAUUGAGCAUCAGGAACGUUGACACAGAAUGAGUCACAACAAUCUCCUCCCAGUUGAACAUCUACGCAUGCAGCUUAUAGCUCCAUAGAGUGCUUCCAGAGAAUGCUGAGGGAAUUCCGCCAGCUCUUCCCCUUACAUUCAAAAGGAGAAAAACCAAAGAGCUAUAGCACUUGGCAGGUCUCUGACGUGGCUGUAUCUGCCUGUCUCUCUGCAACCUCCCUCUGUGACACUGAGUUCAGAAGACGACGACUUGGACCUUGGCACCCUCUCUUCACGUGCUCUCACUUCCUCUCUGUGCUGUCUGUCUCUACUUGCAUUCUGUCUGUGCUUCCUUGACUUACUUUAAGCCCAUGUAUGCAAAUACAAUGCUUCAAAUAGGUCAUUAAAAAGUGCACACUUAU
rnacentral:lncRNA from 7 species